rnacentral:lncRNA from 1 species
UAGUAGAUCUGUACUCUACAUUUCAUGACCUCACUAGUCUCUGGAGUUUGGCUAUGUUUCCCUUAUGAGGCAGGAUUCCCUUGUGUUGAGUAAGUGUGCUGGAAGUUCAGUCAGAGAGCUGUUGAUUAUCACCAACAUAGACCUGGUGGUUCACCUACAAUGCUUCAUUUGGUUCUG